rnacentral:rRNA from 1 species
CCUACGGGUGGCAGCAGUGGGGAAUAUUGGACAAUGGGGGCAACCCUGAUCCAGCCAUGCCGCGUGUGUGAAGAAGGCCCUCGGGUUGUAAAGCACUUUCAGUGAGGAAGAACGCCUGGUGGUUAAUACCCAUCAGGAAAGACAUCACUCACAGAAGAAGCACCGGCUAACUCCGUGCCAGCAGCCGCGGUAAUACGGAGGGUGCGAGCGUUAAUCGGAAUUACUGGGCGUAAAGCGCGCGUAGGUGGCUUGAUAAGCCGGUUGUGAAAGCCCCGGGCUCAACCUGGGAACGGCAUCCGGAACUGUCAAGCUAGAGUGCAGGAGAGGAAGGUAGAAUUCCCGGUGUAGCGGUGAAAGGCGUAGAGAUCGGGAGGAAUACCAGUGGCGAAGGCGGCCUUCUGGACUGACACUGACACUGAGGUGCGAAAGCGUGGGUAGCAAACAGGAUUAGAUACCCGGGUAGUC